AAUCCACACACGCACCGGCACAUGUGUCGGGGUGCCCGCCGCGGCGGGUCGGCCCAUGGGGUGCGUGGAGGCUCAACC
rnacentral:sRNA from 1 species